AUGAAUAAGGUCAUCACAUGCAUGAAGAUGAAAUCAGCACCUUCCCAAACUUCUCCACUGGAAGACUGUCUGGAAUAUCUCCUCCUGACCCUCUGGGGAUGCUGCCCACUCCACAGGGCCCCCUGCAGCUCUGUCUGAUUAUAAAGCUUCUCCCUAAUGGGCAAGAUCUCACACAUGAUAGAGCCAUAAAACGUGGCACUCCUGGCUGGCCCUGCUGCUUGUCUGAUAAGGGAGAUGGAGGGACUCGCCAGCACAGGCAGAGGACCCCGGGUCUCACCCUGCCCCCAUGCCUCCUCCCCACCCCAACUGGUCUCGGCUUCCAGCAUGUUGCCAAGGCCUGUUCUGCAGAACACAAAGCCCGUGCUUUGCAAUGGCGAGGACUCCAUGUUCAAGAAAGGGUGGGAAAUGCCCCCAAUCUCUCCCCUCCUAGGGAUUCAGAACACCCAUGAGCAGAGUCAUGGCUGUGAGGAGGCUUCCAGUAAAGAAAACCUGCUCGCAUUUCCCAGGGACACAUCGCUGAGGCUUGUCACGGUGGUGAGAGAGAACUGUGGUCUCCUAGGAGGCAUGGAGCAGCCUUCCCACACUCUUUGCGUGCACACAUCCUCGGGGGAUCUGGUCCAGGAGCAGGUUCUGACUCCCCAGGCCCGGGCAGGGACUCCAGACGCUGUGUCUCUCAGAAGCCCCCGGGGGACAGUGACGCUGCGGGUCCACAGGCCACAGGGAUCCAGAGUGGCUGCUGAUGAGAAGACAGAGUAUAAAGAGGUUAAACCAUGCCUAUGGUCACCCCUGUCUGGUGAAGCUGAGAUUUGAAGUGGCGUUUGGACCCCAGAGCUGAGCUGAUUAUCACCAUGUCGUUCAGCCUUCCAGAAUCCUGCAGACGGUCAAUAGGGUACCCUGCCCUCCUGUCCAUGCCUGGGCCUCCCAGGCCUAGCAGAGUGGUGGAGGACACUCAGGGACAGGCCAGGGCAUCCCUGUACGUGGCCGCUCCCUAGGUCACCCCCUCUCCCUGCUCUGGUUGGCUCCACACUUUUACAUGAAGCCCCGCUGCUCCCAGCUGGGGGAUGAUUCGACCAGGGGCUCCUGUUCCGUGUUUCACGCAGGAAGACUGCUGAGCAGGCGCUGGCUGUGGAAGAGGGGACAGUUGCCACCCUCUUCUAAAAUGGCCACUGCGGAUUGGAGGGGAAGAUUCCUGCACACCCAAGGAGAGGCUGAGGCUCCACGGAGAAGGAGGAAGCAGUGCUGCCUGAAUAGACCCCCACAGCAUGUCAGCUGCUGGGCAGACACCAGCAUCCCCAUCAUGGAGGGCCUGAAUAAACAGCCCUGUGUUACUCUGCUCUUUGCUGAGCAAAACAGGGCUCCAAACCCC